UGUCCAAUGCGGGGAUCGAACCCGGGUCGUAGUGGUCGUAAACCAAACGGUUUAACCAGCCUAAGCCAAAUAAAU